CCUACGGGACGCAGCAGUGAGGAAUAUUGGUCAAUGGCCGAGAGGCUGAACCAGCCAAGUCGCGUGAGGGAAGAAUGCCCUAUGGAUUGUAAACCUCUUUUGUCAGGGAGCAAAGUCACCCACGUGUGGGUGUUGGAGAGUACCUGAAGAAAAAGCAUCGGCUAACUCCGUGCCAGCAGCCGCGGUAAUACGGAGGAUGCGAGCGUUAUCCGGAUUUAUUGGGUUUAAAGGGUGCGCAGGCGGAGGUGCAAGUCAGCGGUCAAAUUGCGGGGCUCAACCCCGUACUGCCGUUGAAACUGCAUCCC
rnacentral:rRNA from 1 species